AUGGAAGCUCCACGAGAUCCGGGCAGCAACCACACCACACCCUGCUUAGAUACAUCUCAAAGGCUUUCCCUGACCAAACCAAGUUCUGGAAGCCUACACGAAGAGUUUAGGUAUUUUUUUGAUUCAUCAGCCAUGGUGAAGCUACUAGCUAGCGCAUUACUUCCACUUCUUGAACUUUCCGCCGCCGCCGAACAUGCCGUGCUUCCCAUGCUUGCCGUGCUUGAACUUGCCGUGGCCGUGCUUCCCGUGCUUGAACUUGCCGCCGUGGUGGCCGUACCCGCCGCCAUAGCCUCCAUGGCCGCCCAUCAUGCCUCCCAUCAUGUGUCCACCUCCACCGUGGCCGCCGUGAGAAAUCUUGUGUGCUCCGUAAGCGGCGGCAGCAGCUGCUGCGCCUCCAGCUAG
rnacentral:rRNA from 1 species